AACGGCCAUACCAUGCUGAAUAUAUCGGUUUUCGUUAGAUCACCGAAGUCAAGCAUCAUUGGGCGCAGUCAGUACCUGGG